UUAAUAUAUGAUUAAUCAAGUUCCUAAACUUUCCAGCGUUGGAUUUUUUUUUUUCCCCAUGGUUUGUCAUUCAAUUUUCCCCUCUCAUUCAGUCGUGACUCGAGCUCGCGUCGAGUCCUCGACAGCAGCCAUCCAUCACCAUCUUCUGGCCCAAAAGUGACCACCCAUCACCGUCGACAAAAACAACACCAUCAUCAUGCAAAUCAAAAUCGGCCACCCUCAUCUCAUCUCCUCCCAAUUUCAGACACGCUGAACGUCCAAAGGAUCAAGUUAGCUUGAAGAUUUUUUUAUUUUAUUUUAUGUAUUGUGUAAAUUUGCAAACAUGGUGAAAUUUGAAGUUUUUAACUCAAAAAAUUCUUUGUGGUUGUACUUUCAAACUGCUUGUGCUUAAAUUAAUUUCGUUGUGGUUUUUAACUCAAGUUUUUAACCCUAAAACUGGCACUGAUUGUGAUAAAAUUAAUAGUUCUUGAUUCCUAUUA